UACGGAGGGUGCAAGCGUUAUCCGGAUUUACUGGGUUUAAAGGGUGCGUAGGCGGGCUUUUAAGUCAGUGGUGAAGUCUCCGAGCUCAACUUGGAAACUGCCAUUGAUACUAUUAGUCUUGAAUGUUGUUGAGGUGGGCGGAAUAAGUCAUGUAGCGGUGAAAUGCUUAGAUAUGACUUAGAACACCGAUUGCGAAGGCAGCUCACUAAACAAUGAUUGACGCUGAGGCACGAAAGCGUGGGGAUCAAACAGG
rnacentral:rRNA from 1 species